AAGUCAGUGCGGAAAGGGGGAGAGAGACUGCAUAGUGCGAGUAGGCCUGGCCCAUGAUUGAUGUCGUUGGGAAUUAUGCUCCCUUGUGAUUCGUUACUUCAAAGCACACUGACGCAGACACAGUACCACGCGCAGUGACCCCCAGAAGACUCCUAAGCCGUGCCGGAGUGCGCCCGCCAUCUCCUCCUCCCCGACCUGGCGGGCGAAGGUAUGGUGCGCUCGGCCCUGCUAGACCGGAAGCCGGCGCGGGCUGUGCGCGCCUCUCGGCCAGGGAAGGUCCGCACCGCUGCGAGGGGUCACGGUCCGCGAGCUGCGCGCGUCCGGGCCCAUGGGUCUCCAUGGCGACGGCGGGAGCCCGGCAGCCGGAGCGGGGCCGUGGCGCUCCGGGGCCCUCCGCGGCAGCGUGGCCGUGUUCGCCUCCGUGGCUGCCGUGUUCACCCUCACGCUGCCCCGCUCGCUGCCUGGGGGAGACUCGGGGGAACUGAUCACAGCCGCACAUGAGCUUGGAGUCGCCCAUCCCCCGGGCUAUCCGUUGUUCACACUGUUGGCUAGCCUGACAAUCACCCUCUUUCCAUUUGGCUCCGUCGCCUACCGCGUCAAUCUCCUCUGUGGCUUAUUCGGGGCGGUAGCCGCCUCGCUCCUCUUCUACACCGUUUUCAGGCUUUCUGGCUCACAUGCUGGAGGGAUUCUUGCUGCGGGGGUGUUUUCAUUUUCUCGCCUAACAUGGCAGUGGUCCAUUGCAGCCGAGGUUUUUAGCUUAAACAAUCUGUUCGUGGGGCUGCUCAUGGCGCUUACUGUGCGUUUUGAGGAGGCAACAGCCGCAAAGGAGAGAUCAAAGAUAGCGGCCAUUGGUGCUUUCUCGUGUGGCCUCAGCUUGUGUAAUCAGCACACGAUAGUCCUCUAUAUAUUAUGCAUAAUACCCUGGAUUCUUUUCCGACUUCUCAAAGAGAAGGAACUCACCCUCAGCUUGCUGCUGAGGCUGACUCUGGCCUUCUCUGCUGGCCUGCUGCCCUAUGUCUACCUGCCUGUCUCGUCCUACCUCAGUCGCGCCCGCUGGACCUGGGGAGACCAGACGACACUGCGAGGGUUUCUGACACAUUUCUUCAGGGAAGAAUAUGGAACGUUCAGCCUGGCCAAGUCUGAAGUGGGAUCGAGCGUGUCUACAGUACUGCUUUCACAGGUAAUAAAUAUGAAGACCGAACUUUCAUUCAAUAUCCAAGCUCUUGCAGUUUGGGCAAAUAUAUGUUUAGCUAGAAAGGACAGGCGGAAGUCAUCAGUAGUAUGGCUUUUCACUGGAAUGCUUUGCCUGUAUUCAUUAUUCUUUGCUUGGAGAGCAAAUUUAGAUAUUUCAAAACCACUUUUCAUGGGUGUGGUGGAACGAUUCUGGCUGCAGAGCAAUGCGGUGGUGGCCGUUCUCGCUGGCCUCGGUUUGGCCACGCUUGUGUCUGAGACUAACCGAGUGCUCCACUGUACUGGGAUUCGGAACCUGGAGUGGCUGUCAGCAGCCCUUUUUGUUGCUUAUCAAGUAUACUCAAAUUACAGCAUUUGUGACCAAAGAACCAAUAACGUGAUUGAUCAGUUUGCACGAAAUCUUCUGGACUCCAUGCCUCAGGAUGCCAUCAUCCUACUCAGAGGAGACCUGCCUGGAAACGCUCUCCGUUACUUGCAUUACUGCGAGGGCUUGAGACCAGAUGUUUCACUGGUGGAUCAAGAAAUGAUGACCUAUGAGUGGUACUUACCCAAGAUGGCGAGGCAUUUGCCAGGAGUGCACUUUCCUGGGGACCGGUGGAACCCUGUGGAAGGAGUGUUACCCAGUGGGAUGGUCACAUUCAACCUCUAUCACUUUCUUGAAAUGAAUAAGCAAAAAGAAACAUUUGUUUGCAUAGGAAUUCAUGAAGGCGACCCAACCUGGAAAAAGGACUAUUCACUUUGGCCAUGGGGAUCUUGUGACAAAUUGGUGCCUUCAAAGAUUGUAUUCAACCCAGAGGAGUGGAUUGAACGCACAAGAGCCAUCUAUAACUGGACUGAGGCCUAUGAAAGAUUUGGUCCAUCUUCUUGGGAAUCGGUGGCCAAUGAGGAGAUGUGGCAAGCAAGAAUGAAGACUCCAUUCUUCAUCUUCAGUCUGGCAGAGUCUGCUGCAGUUCCUGCAGAUGUGAAAGCACAACUCUACACGCAUGCAUAUAAACCAGAUGCUGUCUCCUGUGGGCACUCACUGUGAGGACCUUGGGAAAACUGAAGCUGCAAGCUCCUUCUGAAUACUGCAUGAAAACGCACAUCAAGUGGCAUGUCGCUGAUGUUUAUGUUGCCUCCAUUGGAGCCAAGAACAGAAAUCGAAUCCCUCCCAGCUCUCCAGUUCACAGUCUGUGGGGGAGGGGUGGGGAGGGAGGCAGACUGUUCUAGAAAGCACAAGGCUUUUCUGGAACUGCUCUAAAAGCAACAUGUGUAGCAUCCGUUACAGCGAGGCUCCCAGGGCACCACUUAGCAGCAGGUUUAUUGAGCUCUGCAUGUUUGGUUUGAUUUGGUUUUUUGAGAUACAGUUUCUCUGUGUAGCCCAGGCUUUUCUGGAACUCACUCUGUAGACCAGGUUGGCCUUAAACUCAGAGAUAGGUCUGCCUCUGCUUCCCGAAUGCUGGCAUUCGCCACCACUGCCCAGCAAACCCUGAGUGUCUUAAUUCCCUUCUCUGUGGAAUGGGGCUUGUGUAGACUCCAUGGUGAGACUGUGAGGGUCAAUGGAUUUGCAGUCUGUCCAACAGUUGCUCAAAUGUUGGCCAUUUUGCUGGCUAACAGGAAAAGCGGUUAUUUGCUUUCUGUCCCUUAGUAAUGUAAGUCUUCAGAGCCUCCUUGUUGGCGAGGCAUAAUGGUGAGUUGGAGGCGAACCUGGGCUAUUGCCUCAUCUUAGGAAAAAAUGCUUCUCAUUUGCUUAAAAUAUACCCACUACAUACACACCAGAAGUUUGUACGUGUUAGGGAGGGAUGCAUGCUCUUAUAUAUGCAAGUACACCUUUAGGUAUAUGUAUAGAAAUUAGAGGUUGGCCUCAAGGGUUGGUCCUCAGGAGCUGACCACCUUGGCUUUUUUUCCCCCUUUUUGGAAUUAUUUAUUUACUUUAUGUAUAGGAGUACGUUGUCCCUCUGUUCAGAUGCACCAGAAGACGGCAUUGGAUCCCAUUACAGAUGGUUGUAAGCCACCAUUGUGGUUGCUGGGAAUUGAACUCAGGACCUCUGGAAGAGCAGUCAGUGCUCCUAACUGCUGAGCCAUCUCUCUAGCUCCAAUCAGCUCCACUCACCUUGGCUUUUCAAAGGCUUUUCCUCUCACUGGGCCCUGUGUCUGUCAGUUAAACGAGACUGGCAUGGAACACAUGCACAUAGCAUACCCAGGGUCUCGCAUAAGUGCUAGGGAGCAAGUCAGCUCUCCUUGCUUGUGUGGCAAGCCCUUUACCAUCUCCCCAACUCGGUGUGCAAAAACGUAAUAAUGCAAUUUAAAUUGCCAUGACAACUAUAAAUAAUGCUAUUGAAGUUAUAUAGAUAAUUGGUAAUCACAAAAAGGUAAUCACUGAGCGAAUAAAUGAAACCAGUCCCAUCAAUUAGGGAGAUAUGUCUCAGUCUUGCAUGUAUGUAAGAAUAAACAGACAGAUCAAUAGACAGGUAGGUAAUAGAUGAAAGAUAGAUGAUAGAGAUAUAGAUAGAUGAUAGAUAGAUAGAUAGAUAGAUAGAUAGAUAGAUAGAUAGAUAGAUAGAUAGAUAGAUAGAUGUGUAAAAACCACGUGUUUAUGAUUUAUCCCACGUGGCCCAUUCCCACUGCCAUGACUAAUCUCCUUAUAUUCAUUUUUCAAACCUAUGGGAUACCAGAAAGAAGCCUAACCAUACUACCCUCUCUCCAGCUUCUCAGUCUCAGAGUUUGCCAUCUAUACAUUUGAUACUAUCCAGUGUCCUACCAAUGAUUCUGAUUCUAGAGCUCAGGGACUUGGAAAAGAAGACUCCUUCCUGUCAGCAUCUCCACAUACUUGCAGGGUUCACCUAGGGCAGGAAGCUCAAGGUCCUGUGCACAUAGCCAUUGCUGGGUUCUCACCUGCAGCCUGAGGUGAAGGUCAUAGAUUUCUCAGGAGGGAAAAGUGGCCUACGUAUCUUUCUUUUAUUUUUUCAAGUGAGCACUUAUUCAUAAACUCAUUAAAACUUUUUUCUUAAUAAGCAUUUCCUAAGCUCCUAAAACAAAGUCCAGAUGUCCCAGGCCUGAGUAGUAACUUUCAGACAGGUACUAAACAGACAGGGAUGCUAAACCCUAGAAAGGUGCCCCUUAGAGAGGGGUUGGGGGAGGGCAAAAUGAAAAUAUAAAAGGUACCUAAGGAUCCCAUUACCGCUAACAAAGCUUCCCCACCCACAGGAAUCCAGCACACUUUCUAAUGGCUGGGAACACUGCUUAAGAAAUGGUUCCCACUUCCUCUCAGCGCACGGUCACUAGUUUCCACCCACCGAGGUGCCUGCAUCUCCAUAUCUGGUUUUCUGGAGCUCUGAUGAAUCCACAGAGGGCUACACUAGACCCAAAAGGGGUUGUUUAGCAGCACAUUCCCUUUGGCACAUCGCUGCACACACCCACACCUCAGUCCCUUGCCUUCUUUGGCUGCUUCUUGACCUUCUGCUGAUCUUAAUGGCAUUGGAGCUUUACAAAAACAGUGCUGUCUUCCCACAGCAAAGAAGUGUUCUCAAUUCUCCAUCUACCAUGAUCACAGCAGAGAAAGCAGAUGAGAGGGUAGACAAAUGUGUGUCUCUGGUUCAGGCUCCUACCUAGCUCUCCUUACAACCACUACUUGGGUUCCUCAAUGGCCCCCUGAUCUCAGGUAGCCUUGACACAUGUCCCUGUUCAGCCCUGCUGGAAAGCGGGCCCUGAUUCCACAGAGCACCAACAAAGAACCCUUGCUUGCUUCUGUAGUAUUCUUACCCCGAUGUCGUCCACUCAUUAAUUGUGAGAAAACAUUGCACAAGCAAAAGACAGCCAACAAAACACUCGGUGAGCACCGUCCAGAUGUCCCAACAUCAUGAAAGAUAGAGAAAGGUGUCACAGAGCUAAGAAGACCUAAUAUAGACAUGGCAGCAAAAUGCACACUGGUGAGAUUAAAGCCUUUGGAGUGGCCCACAGCCUCUUUCUUGCUGGUGUGCAUUUCUGUGAAGUCGUGUGAGACAUUCACAAGGUGAAGUUGGGUAGACAGGUGCUUCCCGAAUAAUCUUUGUGACACUGCUGUAAUUCUCCAACCUUUCCAAAAUAAAGGGAUUUAAAAGAAGCUGCCACACAAAGCAGCUAUUGCCCCCUCACUCUUUGUCAUCUUUUGUCGACUGCUUUCAGGCCUUGGGCAGAACAAAAGAGAGAACAAUGCUCUUUGCUGGUUGGGCACACCAAUGAUCAAAGAGAUAAGAUUCUUAAUGACAAGGGCCACAGCCUGCUACCAGACAGGCCAUUAGGGUAGGUGGCUUGCAUUGGCCCUAGGCCCACACUCCCUCUCUCCCCUCCUCCUUCCCUCCCUUCCUCCUUUCCUCCCAGUGGCCAUUCAGAUGACCUGGGUGAGAACAGAGCUUCUCAGGAAGCCUGAAGUUCUGAGUCCAGAGCUUAGGAAGGCUCUGAGGAAGCCUCUGUGCCUUAAUGUCCCCAAAGUCAGCAGGCUCAUACCCAGCUCAAAGCCAGCAAGUCCACUCUCAGAUUAGUGGGUUCUAGAUUCUUCUUCAGGGAGAAAAGAGAGUGGAGUUGAAACACCCUUAAUACCCUAAUUCUCUCAAAAGAUGAUUCAGACUUUUGUAGCUUCAUUAGCAUUUGCAGAUAAAAAUACAUUUUAAGUGGCAUUAUGCUAAGUAAUUAUUCUUACAAGAUGUGGAAUUAAAUACAUUUCCCUCAGCAUGAAAUUAUUCCUGCCACGUACUGAGUUGGGUGACAGCUUAAAAAGAAUUUGGACAGGGGGUUGCCACGAAAGGAAGAAGCAAUCUAUAUUCUUGAGGCGGUGGGGGGAAACCAACCCAAAAUAUCCACCAAAGGUAAAGUCCUUGUAGCAAAAUCAUUUUGGCUAGAUGGAAUAUUAAACCUGCUACUAUAAAUUUCACGCUUUGCAUUCCUAAAGCAGACGCAGAGAAAUGAUGCCAAAAAUUAAUCAGAAAUAAUGCCCGCCUUGCACGCUUUUUCCAGUAGGGGGCAGAACAGAUAAGACUGUGUGCGCUGGAGACCUCCCUAGACUGAUAAUCAGGCUUGUUUGUAAUUGCCUCUGUAAAGAUAUGUAGCCGCAUGCUUGAAUGCUUAUUUACAUUUUGGGAUGUGGUUGGGAAUAGAGGCUUUCGAUUUAGAACUUUGUUUCUGUCUCUAAGUACAUGGGAGACUUUCAGCUGUCGCGAACCUUGUAUUUACCAAUGCAUGGUGUUCAAUUGCUGGAUUUAAUUGUUACAGUACAGUGAAUUAUUCUAUUAUUUCUAACUAUUUUUUAUCUGGAAAAUUCAAACUUUCCAGGCUUUAGGGCAGGAUAAAAUGGCUCUGAGCAUGUCAGCGUCUCAAGAGUACAUUAUUUUCUUAUUGGAUUGCAUUAACUUUACAGAUGAAAAUUUGAAGGAGAAUUAGAAGGCUUAGAGAUGGAAAAUUCGGAGAAGAAAAGAAUUAUGUCUUCAGAUUUCUGGAGGGGCUAGCUGAAAUCCACCUGGCUUUCUCUUGACUUGGGAAAAUGAUGUUCCAGGGUUCAGUAUGUCAUCAGCAACCUUCAGGACCCUGUAUGGUAGGCGCACUAAGAACGAUUUCCUUUGUGGGAAAUGAAGCAGACCCCGGCCGCAGAGGAUCCGUUGUCAUUUCUGAGGUGCAUUUAACUUAAAUAGCCAGGAGAUCUGGAGCCCCCAAAACAGGUCCCUGCAGUGUGGGUGUUCAGACACACGUGUUCCCUUCCUGUGACUGAGGAAGAAGAUGGGUGGAGCAAUGCCCUCUGCUGGAGCGAUGCCUCAUACUGCGUGGACAGAUGUGUGUGGGUGACCUAGCUGCCUGCCUUUUGUUCUCCGGUCUCUCACCCUGUUAUUUCUUCAACUCCCAACCACCGCACAGUUUUUUGUACUCAUGCGGCAUUCUUAACCUCUGACUUGAGUUUUGAGUGG